GAAUUAGAUAACCAAUCACAUAUAGAAAAUUGGAUAUUUUGUGUUGUUUAAUAUCAUUUUAUGUUUUUAUUGUAGUUAAAUAUUUGUUGUUUCUUAGAGGUAUAAAUUAAAUAACUUUAUUUAUCUUACCUUCCCGACUUCUCACCUACAAUGGUGAUUCAUUAUUAUUAAUUUAAAAAAAUAGCUGAUACUGCUUAUAAAUGUGACAAUUUUGUCAGUGGGAAGUUGGAGAGGUAAAUUAUUGCUAACAGAAUAGGAUUGUGAGUAGAGCUUGGUUAAGUCAUUCUUUAAAACUAGUUACACCAAAACCCAUGUAGUAAAACAGCAGUAUCAUUCCAAUACCCCAUCUAUACAGCUACCACACCAGCAUAUAUAGCUUUCUCUAUGAACUGGUGGUACUGUACAUAACCAUCUAAAUUACCCCCUCACCACUAUCACUAGAAUGCUUGAAAUUUUUGAAAGGCUAUUUAUUAUUCUGUGGACAUUAUGAAUAUUAAUAAUUUAAACAGAAUAAGAUAAAAAAAAAAAAAUCAAAAAUAAUGAAAUCUUACAUUUUCUUAGUUUUCCUAAUUAUUAAGAGAACUACAAGAAAAAUCAAAAACUGACGGUCCCAAUACACCAACUAGAUCCCAAAAACAUGGUACAAAAAUCCCUAUUGUAUAAAAAAUGUGUACACUAAGUAAAACCAAGAAUAACUAUACUCAGAAUCUGAAAUGAAAUGUUUAUAUUGCAUUUUAUUUACACCUGUUAAAUUACCAUGAUUGGUAGGUAACAUUGGACUGUUAACUCACAUAUAGGUCACAUAUUGGCCCACUACCCAAAUAAUAAAUAAAAUAUAUUAUAAUAUAUGAAUAUGUCAUAUGAAACAAUAAUAAUAAUAAUAAAAGAAAAUAUAAAUUUAUACAAACUUGUAUAAGUACAUGUGUUAACAAGGUAUAUAACACCCCUUCUCCUCCCCUUAAAAAAACCAAAAACUUGUGCUUGAGGUAAGUCAGAUCACUAUAUCUUAUUUUACCAACUUUGUUCAAUUUAUUGUAUAAUUUUAAAACUAUAACAUUGUCAACCUACCAUAUGAAAUGUGAUGAUCAUUUAAAUGAUAAAUUAUAUUUGAAUGAAUUUAAAAUAAUUUUUACAGAAUUAACAUAUAUAAAAUUAGCAAGACUAAAUGUCAGUUUGAACAGAAUCGCAUCUUUACCAGUUGAGCUGCGGUUAAUGACAAAUUUAGAAUGUUUAGAAGUUGCUAAUAAUCCACUAAUAUCACCUCCUACAUCUUAUAGUGAUAUGGG